UAUGUUGAAGAAGAAGAAAGUGAGAAGUUGAAGGAAAUUGAAAUGGCUAAAGCACAACAGGCGAGACCAACAUGGCAACCCUGUCGGGGCGACAGAGAGAUUUUCCUUUCAUUCCUUCCAAAUCACAGCAUAUUAGAGAGGAUGAGAAAAAUCAACAUCCUCCAAUUACUCAUUUUCAAAUGAAAUCAAAAACAAAUUUAAUUCACAAUUCAUCUAAGAAAAUUCACGUAAAUAGUGAAUUCCCUCCAAAAUAACAAAGCAUUAGGAGCUAGGAAUUGAUUAUGUUUGUAACAAGUUUGGUACAUAUUAUUUUUAUACACUAAUUUGAGGAGAAGUGUUGGAUAUAUUAUUUUUAUUUUAUCUUUAUAUUUUAUUUUUAGUUAGUUUGUUAUUAUUCCCUAUUUGUAUUUUGGGCUUAGCCCAUAUUUCUUCUAUUAUAAAGAGUAUUUUAUGUGUAUAUUCAAUGUAAGAGAGAUUAAUCUCAUGCAUAAUUUUUCAUUAUAUUUAACAACAAAAAAGUAAAAUUAAUUUUUCUAUAUAUUAAAGUUAGUUUAUAUAUGUGUUUGUUUCAGGUGUUGCCAGACAGGUUGUGUCAUAGACUAGACGAGUUAUCCAAACUCUAAAAUUGUUUGUCUUGUUACGCUCCUUUAUAUUGUCCUUUAGGUCUGUAAGGUCUUCCGUUCAUCCAGAACUAUUUAGAUUAUACUUGUAGAAGAUACUCUGAUGUUAAAGUGAGUAGUUGACCAAUCAGUGUCGUAUAAAGUGUAAUGAUGCAUGUGUUCUUAAAGCCAUACCUUAUAC
rnacentral:lncRNA from 1 species